UGACGGAGAAAGAACAUGCAUCUAUCAAUCAUUAAUCAAGAUAACCAUUUGGAGCGAAACCGGUUGCUGUCUGGGUUUGGGUGUCCUCUCUGCCCUCAUUUUAAGACUGCGAGUGAUGGGGUGUUUGAGAGGCACUUAAGGAACCACACUGCAAAUGCAAUACAUUUCCAGGGAUUGUGGAUACAGUUGAGAGAGGAGGGGUUCUGGCCGUGUUUUCCAGGGAUCAGAUAAAGAGAUUACAUGAUGAUCUGAUUAAUGGAAACAUGCGUUCCAACAGAUUGUACCUCUGGAGAAUCCAUCUACCUCUCUCAGGCUUAAACAGCACCUUAAACUAAGGGCGCUGAAUUUAAGUGACCAGCGGAUCUUUGAGCUUCUGAGGGUGAUAGAGGAGGUGACGGGUCUAGGAACCAGGAUAAGGAAAGGAGAGAUCAAGCUUCUAGACUUCGUGUUUGAUGUCAUGCUCCCAGAGAUCCUGAUCAGCAUCCUGGACGAUGAAGGACUGACCCGGCUACAAGCUGAGUUAUUAAUGGCUAGAGGGAGACUUUUUUAAGUGUAAACCUCCAUUUUGUUUAUUCAUUUUUUGUUUUUGACUCUUAAUUUUGGAACAUUCUUUUUUUUAUUUGCUCAUCAUUUUUGUUAAAGCUUCUACCUUUUGUCCUUAUUCUUAAAAGAUUUAAUAAAGUUAAUUGCAAAUAUGA